ensembl:lncRNA
CUAGAGAGGCUCGCGCAGGCGCAGCUUCAGAAGUAAACGAGCUGUGGCCUGAUCAACAACGUCUCCUCUGUGUCUGUCCACAGAUGAGUGGGAAAAGAGACCACAUGAUGCAUCAUCUGUACACACCCAGCACCCAGGAAUGUCUGAUUUCUCUGUUCUGCACCAGCCUUAUGCAUGCCCCUCUGAACUCAAAAAGACCCUGGCUUCUGCAUCCAGCCCCAAGUGUACAGCCCCAUUUGGUCCACAACUCUACCCCAGGCCCCCUCUCUCCCUCAGCCAAGUGGAGUCCCUACAAAACGUGGUGCAGAACUGGAGUUAAUUGUUUGCAGAAAUGUUCAGAACAAAAACGAAAACCUAUUUAAAUUUGACUCGAUGUGAUGUAAAAAAUAAAGUGAAAUGCUUUUAUUGUUUUAUUUUUUGGUUUGGGGCAUACGUUUUUAAAAAGUUUAUAUAUAUAUAUAUUUAUUUCUGCAAUAUUUGUUGUCUUGCA